UACGUAGGGGGCAAGCGUUAUCCAGAUUUACUGGGUGUAAAGGGAGCGUAGACGGCAAUGCAAGUCUGGAGUGAAAGGCGGGGGCCCAACCCCCGGACUGCUCUGGAAACUGUAUAGCUGGAGUGCAGGAGAGGUAAGUGGAAUUCCUAGUGUAGCGGUGAAAUGCGUAGAUAUUAGGAGGAACACCAGUGGCGAAGGCGGCUUACUGGACUGUAACUGACGUUGAGGCUCGAAAGCGUGGGGAGCAAACAGG
rnacentral:rRNA from 1 species